rnacentral:rRNA from 1 species
GCAAGUCGAAGGUGAAGCUAGAGCUUGCUCUAGUGGCAACUGGGGGACGGGUGAGUGACGCGUAGGGAUGUGCCUAUGGCUACGGAAUAACCGUUGGAAACGACGGCUAAUACCGUAUACGCCCCAAGGGUGAAAGCUCCGGCGCCCAUAGAGCAACCUGCGUCCGAUUAGCUUGUUGGUGAGGUAAUGGCUCACCAAGGCUCCGAUCGGUAGCUGGUCUGAGAGGAUGGUC